AUAGCCUAUGUCUUCAUUGUGUCAGUUAGAUCACGCCAUUGUAAGAUUUACUUUAGCCUGCUAAAAGGCCCAUCUUAGUCUUUAACUUUACCUACAUGCUGUUUUUUCCUGUUCUAGCCCCUAAUCAAGUAAUCUGAAACCUGGGCAAAAGAUAAGCAUCAUGAUUAAUUUAGCAAACAAACCCAGCCAUAAAUAGCAUAGUAAAGACAGGAAGAAUCCCAUCUUACAGCUAAGAUUGCAUUUUAAAACCAAGGAAAUUAAAAAGUAAGAUUCUUAACGUAUUCUUUAGCAAACAGACAGUAACUCAGCCCACCUCAGAGGCAGGGCAGGUGGUCUUGAUUGAUACGCUCCCAGACCAGGAAGCUGCUAUACGGGGAAGGAAUCAGAGAAGUAAAUUUCUUGAGUUAAGCUAAUCCUGGAGGUCUGAUAAUAAAAGGGUUGUAAUGUCUUUCAUCAAAGAUAAAUAUCUUGGGACCACUUAACAAAUCCACAUCCCUAGCCCUUUGCCACAUUCUUGAAAAAAUCCUUAAAAGGGGGAACUCCCAACCUUUCAGGACACACCUCUCUCUCUAAGGUUGCCCCUCACUUUCUAAGUGCAUAGCCUUAAAUAAAAGUUUCUCAAUCUUUUGGUGCACCUCUCUCUGAGGUCACCCACACUUUCUAAGUGCAUAUAGCCUUAUUAAACUUUUUCUCAGUCUUUCAGGAAAGCCUCACUCUGAGGUCACCCACACAUUCUCUCUUUAAGUGUGUUAACUUUAAAUAAAACUUUUUACUCUGCUUCACUACUCAGUCUCUGUGCUUCCAUUCUUUGCUGUGGCUGGGACAAGAACUGAGGAAAAAAAACAAUACCCACCCCUCCCAACAUCUAUAGGUAUGUUUAUGUCAAUUUUCAUAAUUAUGAUAGCUUUAGCCUCAUAUUAUAUGAUACAAUGCAUCCAUACAUUUGAAUUGCCUUUGUUUGGAGACUUUGGGGGCAUUAAAUCAGGACUUUGACUUGUCUUUGUGGAUAAUACCCAUACGGUCUGGUCUGUCUAGCCCACUAAGCUCAGUCCUGCAGCAUUCAUUGAGUCUUCUCUGCACCAGGCCAGUUAGCUAUUAACCACAGGUUGAAAGGUCAGAACCAUUUCAAAAGCUUUUCUGUUUUGCUUCCCAUAUGGUUUCUGAUGCCGGGGUUCUUGUUCGCGGAGUUGAAGAAUGAACUUUGCAAACACUCAAGAUUUUAUAGAAUAAAAAAAGAUGUCACUUACCAAGACAACCUGCCAGUCUGUCCUGUUGGCAGCCUGUAUGUAAUUCAAAUACUUCCUGGAACAUUUAUUUCCUGGUAACCACAUUUAAUGUUGGGGAUGGGGAAAAUAAAAGCUCUUUUAUGCCAUCUACUGAGUCCCACCGAAACUACAUUACAUGAACUUUCUCAGGACUGGAGCAACCUCCUAGGCAAUGUUUACAGAAAGCUUUCAAAGGCAAAUAUUCUAGCCACAGACAUCUGGAACAAAUGAAUAAGAGAUGGGACAAGCAGCAGACACACCAAAAAUCCAGGGAAGAAGGAGGCUGGGAGAAGAGAUAUAUCAGAAAAAAAAGUUGUUGAAAGACUCCACAUAUACCAAAAAAUCUAGAAAACUACAUACAUGCUCAAGACUAGAGACAUGUUAAGAAAAGUCCUGAGAAAAAUCCUAAACCUUCACCUCUGGCUGACCUUUAGGCUCUGGCAGUAGGAAGUGAAGGCUAAGACAGAGUUGUAAACUGAUUGGAUAUACAUUGAUGAAGUGCUUCAACACAGAGACAUCUGAAAAGAUCAGAUGUUUUAUUUUUAUUUUGUUUUAGUUCUUCUCCAGGUGCUUAAGAGAAUCCCUAUUAAAUCAUUAGCUGACCACUAUGCCAAUGGAACAAAUAAUUCAAUGACAACACACAACAAAGAAUACAAUCUUUACAAAAUUAGUUUAGAAAAGUCUCUAAGCACACAACCAGCUGCACCCUACAACAAGCAGUAACAACCCUGGGAGAAAGGAAAAUCUGAGUUACCACAUUUCCAGAAUUGCCACAUUAGAAUAUUUUAGAUGCCUGCUUUAAACAAAAAAACUAUGAAACAUGCAAGAAAUAAGAAAGUAUUGCCCAUUCACAGGGACAAAAGAAAAGAACAAUUAGAGAACUGAUGUCACUCAACUUCAAGACUUACUAUACAGCUACAGUAAUCAAGACAGCAUAGUACAGGUGAAAUAAUGGACAGACAGAUCAAUGAGCCAGAAUAAAAAACUUAGAAAUAGGCCCCACAAACAAAGUCAGAUGAUCUUUGACAAAGGAGCAAAGGCAAUUCACUGAAGAAAGGAUAGUCUUUUAAACAAAUGGUGCUGGAGCAACUAGAUAUCCACAGGCAAAAAAAGAAAGAAAGUCUGAAGAGUUUUCACAAAAAUUAGCCCCAAAUGGAUUACAGACCUAAAUGUAAAAUGCAAAACUAUAAAACCUGGUGAUAAUGUAGGAGAAAAUCUAAGUGACCUUGAGUUUGGUGAAGACUUUCUAAACACAACAUCAAAAGCACAAUUCAUAAAAGAAAAAAAAUUUAACUUGGACUCCAUUAGAGUGACAUUUCUCUGCUUUGCAACACACACUGUUAAGAUAAUGAAAAAAGCCACAGACUUGGAGAAAAUAUUUACAAAAUACUUAUCUGAUAAAGGACUUGCAUCCAAAAUAUACAAUGAACUCUUAAACUCAACAAUAAGAAAAGAGAAAUGACAAAAUGUUAAGUGGGCAAAAGAUCUGCACAGCUACCUCACCAAAGAAGAUAUACAAAGGAUAAAUAAGCAUAUGAAAAGAUAAUAUAUGUCAUUGAGGAACUGCAAAUUAAAAUAACAAUGAGAUACCAUUACAUACCUAUUAGAAAGGCCAAAAUCCCAAACAAUAUCAAAUACUGGUGAGGAUAUGAAUCAACAGGGACAUUCAUUUUUGGUGGGAAUUAAAAAUGGUACAGACACUUUGGAAGACAGUCUGACAGUUUUUUACAAAGCUAAAUAUAAACAUAUGAUCCAGCAAUCACACUCUCAGGUUUUUAUCCAAAUGAAUUAAAAAUAUAUGGGCACAUAAG